rnacentral:lncRNA from 10 species
AUGAUGAACAUGGGGAAAGAGGAGAGGUACCUGCUGUAUAUUCUCAGGCCUUUUAGAACACAUGGAGUUGUUCCUCUGGCCACAUCCACACGAACCUACAAGAAAGGAGAUGUUAUAGACGUCAAGAGAUGCCCCACGGAUGUUACCAAGGCAAAAGGAAUGCCCCACAGAUGUUACCAAGGCAAAAGAGGAAGAGACUACAUGUAUCUAGUAUGCUGUUGGCAUGGUUGGAAACAAACAACAGCAUGAUUCUUGCCAAGAGAAUUCAUGUGUGUGUAUGGAGCAUACCAAGCACUCCAAGAGCUGGGAAGGCCUUCAGAAACACGUGAGGGAAAAUGAUCAAAAGAGAAGGAAACGGCCAGUACCUGGGUUCAACUGAAGUGCCAGCCUGCUCCAGCCAGAGAAGCACAAUUUGUGAGAACAGGGAAAACGAACCCAAGCUGCUGGAACCCAAUCCUCUUGAAUUAAUGGCU